rnacentral:rRNA from 1 species
UACGUAGGGUGCAAGCGUUAUCCGGAUUUAUUGGGUUUAAAGGGUGCGUAGGCGGCUUUUUAAGUCAGGGGUGAAAGACGGUGGCUCAACCAUCGCAGUGCCUUUGAUACUGAAGAGCUUGAUUAAACUUGAGGUAGGCGGAAUGUGACAAGUAGCGGUGAAAUGCAUAGAUAUCGUCAAGAACACCUAUAGCGAAGGCAGCUUACUAGGCUGUAACUGACGCUGAGGCACGAAAAGUGUGGGGGAUCAAACAGG